GACGAACGCUGGCGGCGUGCCUAAUACAUGCAAGUCGAGCGCAGGAAACUGACGGAACUCUUCGGAGGGAAGGCAGUGGAAUGAGCGGCGGACGGGUGAGUAACACGUAAGGAACCUGCCUCAAGGAUUGGGAUAACUCCGAGAAAUCGGAGCUAAUACCGGAUAGUUCAACGGACCGCAUGGUCCGCUGAUGAAAGGCGCUUCGGCGUCACCUUGAGAUGGCCUUGCGGUGCAUUAGCUAGUUGGUGGGGUAACGGCCCACCAAGGCGACGAUGCAUAGACGACCUGAGAGGGUGAUCGGCCACACUGGGACUGAGACACGGCCCAGACUCCUACGGGAGGCAGCAGUAGGGAAUCUUCCACAAUGGACGAAAGUCUGAUGGAGCAACGCCGCGUGAGUGAUGAAGGUUUUCGGAUCGUAAAACUCUGUUGUAAGGGAAGAACACGUACGAGAGGAAAUGCUCGUACCUUGACGGUACCUUACGAGAAAGCCACGGCUAACUACGUGCCAGCCGCCGCGGUAACAC
rnacentral:rRNA from 1 species